rnacentral:lncRNA from 1 species
UUUCUUACUCUAUAUACAAAUCAGAACCGCCAACGGUUCGUCGACUGCAGAAUCACCACCAUCAACCAUCGCUGGAUGCACGCAGAUCAGAACCACCACCAACCAUCAGAAACACAAAUCUUGACCACCAACGGAUCCAACACCACCAACCAUCACCGGCUACAACUUUCUUACUCUACACACAAAUCAAAACCACCAAUACUUUGUCUACUAUGAAACCCCUACUACCUUCGAUGGCUGUACGGA